GCUCUCCCAGUCUGUCUCCAGAGCAGAGGUGCUCCAGCCCUCAGAGCAUCUCUGUGGCCUCCUGUGGACUCUCCUCAACAGCUUCAUGGCCUUCUGAUGCUGGGGACUGUUGCUGUUGACCUCACUAAAGGAAGAAGAGACACAUUUUCAUGGAACAAAAGAAGGGGACCCCAGAGCUGGAGGCAGAUCUGAAGGUGGGGUCUCACCUGAGUGGAGCAGAGGGGCAGGAUCCACCCCACCUCCUACAGCCCCCCUCCUCGACUUCCCAAGAUGUGGGACCAAUUCAGGAUGUUUGAAUUAAUUUCUCUUAUAUAUUUUUUUCUGAGGAUAAGUUUUGGUGAGUACCUUCAGCUAUUACUUAAAGGUAUGUUACAGAUUUUCUACGAUCAGCAUUUUCUGGUUUUCUAACUUGGCUGAAAAGCUUCCGCAAAGAAAACAAUAAAUUUGGAGUAAAUAAAUGUUGCCAUACACCCCGAAACAAAUUUAUGAUCUGGAUAGCCUUAAGACUUCUAAAUAAAGACCACAUGCAUUUUUUUUUUCAGGCAUUUUAUUUGGCAUGUGUUCCUGGAAGACCAGGGCUCAGUGGUGGGGUUAGGAACUGACUAAACAAAACCUGUAGUCAUGCUUAGGAGAUUGCCAACAUUUUUAAGGCUUUUCGAGAAAACACCAAACAAAUUAGUUUGAAAUUAAGUUGAAGAUACUUUCUCAACAUCUUUUUCCUCACCAGAGGCAAAUACUUUUGACCUUUUAUUGUUCACUGAUAGAAAGCUAGGGAACUCAUUUGAUAUUCACUCCUCUGAGUAGACCUGCCUCUAGCCUACCAUACACUUUUAAUACUAGUCCUAAAAAGAGUCCAGGUACAGUUCUAGGUACUGGAGGGAUUUCAGAAAUGCUUUUGUGCUGCAUGCCAAAAUGCUAAGAGCAGGGAGAGAUUGUGUCAUCAGUUUUCAGUCAAACCCCUCUGUGCCUCUUUCUAAGUUGCCAAAAAAGUUAUAGAUAAAAUAAUGAGCAAAGACUUUCCAUACAGCUUAAAAAAUGGGAUUUCUCUCCACAAUGGUUGUAGGUGGUUUGGGGUGUUGUGAUGAAGGACCUGGUCCUGUCUGGCUUCAUAUAACAGCGGCAAGAGGAGGAGUAUACUUUUGCUUGGCUUAGCUUGCACAUUUGCUCUGUUUUGCACCAAAUUUGGUCAUCAUAUUUUACAAUUCUACUCCAAGCAGGAAAUCUAGAUUAUGGUUCAGUGACUGCCUUAAUUUUUACAGACAAAUCAUGAUCUUUAUUGGUGGAAUUAUGAGCGAGCUGGAUCUUACUGUCUUUGUGUAAUGAGGCCAAUAUAUUGCUACUAGCGUGAUGUUUUAAAUUUCAUGUAACAAAGGACAAAGGUAGUUUUCUUCAUGCUUUCCUUCUUCCUCUCCCUCUCACUCUCCCUCUCUCUUUUCAUCUUUUCUUUCUUCCUUCUCAUUUUUCCCCUACUCUUUUUCCUUCCUUUCUUCCUUUUCUGUUUUGCUUUUUCCAAAACAGAGAUCCGAAUUUCUAGAAUUCUCUUGCAGUGCUUGUGAUUAUGCUAGUCUGAAAUGGGAAAAGCCUAUUCAAGACCCCUGCAGAGCAAUGGUUUUGUAGGGACUGCACUGUCCAUCACCUUUAGAGGAAGCAGAGCCAACUGAAUUAAGCAUCGACUUUCUUGAAUGAUGGAGAAGGGUGAGGCAAAUCAAAACUUUUGUGGGCAAGGUUUCAUGGUUAGGGUUGUAUGGGACCAACCAUCACCUAAAACACAGCAGCUUCCAACUAAAGUGCCAGUUCUGACCUCAGCUCCAGGGCUCCCAAUUACCCUUUGGAGCAUCUUCUCUCCCUCCACUGACUGUGGAAGUUCCAAACUAUCUUAGACAAUUACUCUUAAGUGCUUUAAAUUGUCUGGUGUGAAUAACCCCUGUUGCUUUAUUUCCAUCCAGGUUCUAUUGGAAUCCAAACAGGAAAGUCAAAGAGAGGAAUAUGGACAUGGGGUGAAAUCAUGUGCCUUGCAACAAAUUAUUUAGCGGUGAUAAGCUCCAGUAGGAGCACAUCUGAUUUCUCAGAUCCUGGGAUGGGUUGGCAGCAUGAGAAGCAGGAGCCAUGCUUUAUCUAUAAACAGUGCAGUAUUAUAGUGGUAUCACUGUAGCACAAUAAACAUUGAGUCCCAUGAUACCAGUUUCACAGUCUCCAUACAGACCAAAGCCUUGCUUUAAUAUUACUUGCACUUAAUCUUCAGUUUGUAAUAUUUAUUUAAUUUCUUCUUGUUAAGAACCCCAGAGGAAGGAUAGGCUCUAAGAGUCUAAGCUCUCCUGGAUUGCAGUUCUAAACUAUUAAUCUGUCAUGUCAGCAUAUUUUAUUAAUACUGUUUUCCUGUGUACAAUUGGUGGAAUACAUCAUAAGUCACUUACCAUCUGCUGUAUAACUGUGUUGUAAAGUGUCUUUCUUCCAUAGAUUAUUGCUUUGAUAGAUUAGAGUUUUGUACAGUCGUGAUACCUCAUCCCAUCAAUUUUAAUCUCUCAGGAGGACAUUCAUGGCUGAAGUAUCUGCUCAUUGCAGAAGUCUUUAAUGACCUCUCACUGUGUCCCCACAGGUUAGGGAAGUGCUAUUAUGCUUUCUUGCCAGAUGAGAACACGUAUCCAGGUUUUGUGCUGCAUUGCUUCAAUGAAGUGUGCUUUCUCCUUCUCUUCCACCCCUUCCGUUCCAGGCAAAGGGGAGAGGCAGAGCUGCAUGAGUGCCAUGGGUGACCUACAGACCAUCAAAGAGAAGCAGCAACACCCAGGGAAGAAAAGCUUACUUGAUGGAUUCUUAAAUAUAAAG